AUACGUAGGAUCCGAGCGUUAUCCGGAUUUAUUGGGUGUAAAGGGUGCGCAGGCGGCCAUUUAAGUCAGCGGUUAAAUCGUGGGGCUCAACCCCAUUCUGCCGUUGAUAAUGGGUGUCUUGGUUGCGGGCGAGGUUGGCGGAAUUUGUUGGGUAGCGGGGAAAUGCAUAGAUAUGACGAAGAACACCGAUUGCGUAGGCAGCUGACCAGACCGCAAAUGACGCUCAUGCACGAAAGUGCGGGGAUCGAACAGGAUUAGAUACCCUGGUAGUCCGCACAGUAAACGAUGAAUACUUGUUUUCGGCGAUAUAAUGUCGGAGGCAAAGCGAAAGCGAUAAGUAUUCCACCUGGGGAGUACGCCGGCAACGGUGAAACUCAAAUGAAUUGACGGGG
rnacentral:rRNA from 1 species